GUCAUAAUGGUUCAGUAUAAAUUGGCUUGGCAGUGUUUCAUAUUGGUGAGCAUAAUAAAUAGACCUGCCAAUUUAUCCGGAUUUUUAAUGCUUGAUCUAAUUUAGAUAAUAUUCAAGUAUCCAACAUUAACGUCAUUACGCCAAAAUGACCAAGCUAAGUAGAGAUUUGAUUAAAAAUUUCAUAUUGAAUUUAAUCUUCUAUCGAAAAAGGAAAUUUUAGAUACAAAAGCAUUUAGUAUAAUUUAAUUCUAUUCGGUUAUUAGUUGAAUUUUCUACUUAAUUUUCUAGUUAAAGAAAGGCGCCUGUUACAAGGAUGUUUUAUAUAGAUUGAAAAUUAUCCACUGUGAUUGAAAUCUAAAGAAUUUAGAAGAAUUUAGUUAUUUAAAAUUCAAAUGUAACACUACUAUAAAAAGUAUGCAUAUACAUAUGUAUGCAAAUCUAAAUAAUGAUAAUUGAAUAGCGCAGUUGAUUCUAUGAAAUAUUCAAUUUUUUAUAUAAAUAUUAAUUGAAUAUUCGAAUAUUAUCGAUAUCCGGAUAUUCGCAGUCCUAACAAGGUAUUUCGUUUACAAAUGAACCAGCAGUUGCGUCAAAUAAUUGCGUCAUGCAUGCGUAAUAGAAGCCUCGUUAUAACAAACGUUAUAAGAACAUUUUUAAGGAUUUCAGUCGGAGGUUGGAAACAUUUAAUAAGUGACGAACAAGUCUUUCCUCUUAAUGGUCUUUGGUGACGAACUCUAAAUGACAAAAAUUCUUUGUCAUUUGUAAAUAUAGAAACUCUAAAAGCUUUAAACAAUCGUAUAUACGUAAAUAUUGGUUUCUGUGAUCUGGUUUCAAAAUUUCUAAUUAAAUGUUAUAAAAGUUUCAUUAUUUUCUCGCCGGUUUUUCUAGUUCUUCGUUUUUUUUUCUUUUUUGGUUUUUCUUUAAUUCCUUGGUCUUAAGCGCACUUGUUAAGUUGACAAGGAGCAAGCAUUCAAAUGAUUAUCUGCGUCUUUAAGGGUAUAAUCUUCAUAUCAUUCGUAUUAAAAAAGAAA